rnacentral:snoRNA from 1 species
CGCCAANUGAUGUGAAGGAAUAUUUGCUAUCCGAGAGACGGUGAUGACGCCCGAAACCACCAAGAUCGCUGAUGCA